UACGGAGGAUCCGAGCGUUAUCCGGAUUUAUUGGGUUUAAAGGGUGCUCAGGCGGGGGAUUAAGUCGGCGGUGAAAUUUUGCAGCUCAACUGUAAAAGUGCCUUCGAAACUGGUUUCCUUGAGUGUGGAUGAGGUAGGCGGAAUUUGUGGUGUAGCGGUGAAAUGCAUAGAUAUCACGAGGAACUCCGAUUGCGCGGGCAGCUUACUAAACCAUAACUGACGCUCAAGCACGAAGGCGUGGGGAUCAAACAGGAUUAGAUACCCGUGUAGUCCCUGA
rnacentral:rRNA from 1 species